rnacentral:lncRNA from 1 species
UACUAUCCUAUUAAUAGGAUAGGAGCACUUGUCCUAUCAAAUUGUUUUUGAUGAUCGAGAUUCCGAAUCGAUGAUCAAAGCCGUUGAAGUUGAUCUAGAGUAUUUGAAAUAUCUAGAAACUAAAUUUCAUAACUUUUAAAAAUUAUUUACAUGGUGAUCAAAGUGUCGUAAAAUCGACAAUUUUUGAUGGCCUAUAUGAGCCGUUUGCUUGUUUAACGGUGUAGAGCAAUCCAAAUUGCUUGAAUUUUUGCUAAAAAAUUUUUUAUACUAUUUAGAUAAUGUUUGAUAACUCUGAUUAUGAAUUGAGAAAGUCUAACCUCUAUUUUAAGAAGGUUAUUCAUUUACGAUCGUUCAUUUUUUAACUCUUAAGAUGAACUUGAUAAUGAUUUUUAAAUAUUACAAAAUUUGGUUUCUAAACAUUUCUAAUUGUGUAGAUCAAUUUCAACGGUGCCGAUUAUCAAUUUGAAGUUCCGAUCAAUCAAAACGACUUGAUAGGACAAUGGCACCAAUCCUAUUAAUAGGAUAGUAGCCGAACUAUAUAUAUAUAUAUAUAUAUAUAU